rnacentral:lncRNA from 1 species
CGGGGUUUCACCGUGUUAGCCAGGAUGGUCUCGAUCUCCUGACCUCGUGAUCCGCCCGUCUCGGCCUCCCAAAGUGCUGGGAUUACAGGCUUGAGCCACCGCGCCCGGCCGGUCUAGCAUGUUUGUCUAUACUCAUGUGAGGAGCAGGAGUGAAACAGUGGCAAUUCUCAUUGGUAUCUCAUAAAUUUAUAUUGAAUUGUUCAGACUGCUUUGAAAAUGCUCCAUGCCAUAAAUCACAGAGCAUUCUACUAUCACUAGAAUCUAUGAUUAUAAACAAAGAGCUUUUGGAAUUUUGGAAUUUAAAAAUUCUGAAUAGUUUCUUUGUCUUGAAGGAAAGUAAAAAGAACAAACUUGUUUUAAACAAAAUCAGAUGCUCCAAAUGGUCAGUUGAUAAUGCUACCAAUCAAAGAAAACUAAGGGGGAAGAAAAAGAAAAGAGGAAAGAGAGGAGGCAACAGGAAAAUCAGCCUUCUUCCUUCAGUCUAUGGUGAGGAUCUGAAGCUCAGAGGAAUGAUGUUAGAUGCUCAAGGCCACAUAGAUGGCAAGCUGGACAGAUGGUCACUUCGGGAAAAUAAGUAGUAGUAUACUGUGUGUACUGAAUUAUGGUGACCAGCUGGGGAGAGAAGUGCCCCAUUUCCAGUGAUACCACCACUGACAUGUCUGACCUCAAGAAGAAAGGGUAGCCCACCAUGAGGGACCGGGUGUGUGACAUAUUAGAUAACCAGAGAAAGGCUAGGAAAAUCCCCCUAACAUGUAAAAGGCUUGGUCUCAUUCCAGAAAGUAGUAGGAAAAGAAAAUAUUUUAAAUCUUCACAUCCAGAAGGUUAAUAUUUAAACUGUUAAAUUAAACUCAAUAGAGCUAUACAAUUUUACCCAAGAUUCACAAAC